rnacentral:rRNA from 1 species
GUGCCAGCAGCCGCGGUAAUACGUAGGGUGCGAGCGUUAAUCGGAAUUACUGGGCGUAAAGCGUGCGUAGGCGGUUCGUUAAGUCAGCUGUGAAAGCCCCGGGCUCAACCUGGGAACUGCGGUUGAAACUGGCGAACUAGAAUCUGGCAGAGGGGGGUGGAAUUCCACGUGUAGCAGUGAAAUGCGUAGAGAUGUGGAGGAACACCGAUGGCGAAGGCAGCCCCCUGGGCUGAGAUUGACGCUCAGGCACGAAAGCGUGGGGAGCAAACAGGAUUAGAUACCCUGGUAGUCC